rnacentral:miRNA from 1 species
UUGGUGUGUGCUUGUGCUUGUGUGCAUGUGUGCACACCCAUGUACAUUCUGUCUCUCUCACACACAGAUGGUAAG